rnacentral:rRNA from 1 species
UACGGGAGGCAGCAGUGGGGGAUAUUGCACAAUGGGCGAAAGCCUGAUGCAGCGACGCCGCGUGAGUGAAGAAGUAUUUCGGUAUGUAAAGCUCUAUCAGCAGGGAAGAAAGACCCGCAAGGGGGAUGACGGUACCUGACUAAGAAGCCCCGGCUAACUACGUGCCAGCAGCCGCGGUAAU